GACGUAGGGCGCGAGCGUUGUCCGGAUUUAUUGGGCGUAAAGAGCUCGUAGGCGGCUGCUCAAGUCGAAUGUGAAAACUCGAGGCUCAACCUCGAGCCUGCAUUCGAUACUGGGCGGCUAGAGUCUGGUAGGGGGAUCUGGAAUUCCUGGUGUAGCGGUGGAAUGCGCAGAUAUCAGGAGGAACACCGGUGGCGAAGGCGGGUCUCUGGGCCGAUACUGACGCUGAGGAGCGAAAGCGUGGGGAGCGAACAGG
rnacentral:rRNA from 1 species